GCGGGGAUGCCGGAGUGGCCAAACGGGUUAGGUUUAGGACCUAAUAGCUUAGUGCUUACCUAGGUUCAAAUCCUAGUCCCCGCA
rnacentral:tRNA from 1 species